CCUACGGGAGGCAGCAGUGAGGAAUAUUGGUCAAUGGGCGGGAGCCUGAACCAGCCAAGUCGCGUGAGGGACGACGGUCCUAUGGAUUGUAAACCUCUUUUGUCGGGGAACAAAGGCGCCCACGGGUGGGCGGAUGAGUGUACCCGAAGAAAAAGCAUCGGCUAACUCCGUGCCAGCAGCCGCGGUAAUACGUAGGUGGCAAGCGUUGUCCGGAUUUACUGGGUGUAAAGGGCGUGUAGCCGGGCUGACAAGUCAGAUGUGAAAUCCGGGGGCUCAACCCCCGAACUGCAUUUGAAACUGUUGGUUGUGAGUAUCGGAGAGGCAGGCGGAAUUCCUAGUGUAGCGGUGAAAUGCGUAGAUAUUAGGAGGAACACCAGUGGCGAAGGCGGCCUGCUGGACGACAACUGACGGUGAGGCGCGAAAGCGUGGGGAGCAAACAGGAUUAGAUACCCCAGUAGUC
rnacentral:rRNA from 1 species